GACAGUGGCAGUUCAUUAGGCUAAAUUCUCAUAAGGAGCACACAACCUAGAUCCCUUUCAUGUGCAGGUCACAAUAGGGUUCGUGAGCCUAUGAGAAUGUAAUGCUACUGCGGAUCUGAGGGGAGGUGGAGCUCAGGAGGCAAUGUGAACGAUGAGGAGUGGCUGUAAAUUCAGAGGAAGCUUCACUUGCUUGCCCAACACCUCCUGCUGUGUGAUACCAAAUGAUAUUGAUCCAUGGCCUGGAGGUUGGGGACCCCUGCUAUAUAAGUUUGUCAAUGCCUGCUCUAUACAUGUUCAUUGUUUGUUUACAGAUUGCUGUCACUGUCCAAGGCACAGUGCUAUGAACAAGGACAACAUGUGCCUUAAAUGAAUUCACAUUCUACUGGGGAACCAGAUAUUUUAGCAGUGUAAGAAACUUAGUUACUGAGGAAGGAGUGACUCUUUGGGGGAUGAUAAAAUUUGUGUGACCACUGCUAUAGUCAAGACACAGGACACUUCUACUACAUGUUUCCCUUGAGCUACCCUUUCAUAAAAGCAGACACCACCCUUACUCUCCACCACCCCCAACCCCAGCGACUAAUCAUCUGUUUUCCAUCUCUAUAAUUUUGUCAUUUUGAGAAUGUUAUAUAAAUGUAAUCAUAUUACUUGAAACCAAGAGUUCAAAAUAAACCUGGACAACCAA